GCUCAGUGAUCUAGUGGUUAAGCGCUUUGGCGCGAGACCAGUAGGUCCUGGGUUCGAAUCUCGCGAGUUG
rnacentral:tRNA from 1 species